UUCCGUAGGUGAACCUGCGGAAGGAUCAUUAAUGAAUUAAAGUCGGUCUUCUGUGCUGGUGGUGACACAUGUGCACGUUGAUCGCAAAUCCACACACCUGUGCACCUUUGACUUUAGGAUCCGCUUGUUGGCUUGUCUGACUUGCAGCUGAUGUUGGUUUUGUGCUCAUCUGGAUCUUAGAGUAAUUUUACACACUCUGAAUGUAAUGGAAUGUUCCUGUGCAUAAUGCGCAAAAUACAACUUUCAACAACGGAUCUCUUGGCUCUCGCAUCGAUGAAGAACGCAGCGAAAUGUGAUAAGUAAUGUGAAUUGCAGAAUUCAGUGAAUCAUCGAAUCUUUGAACGCACCUUGCACCCUUUGGUAUUCCAAAGGGUACACCCGUUUGAGUGUCAUUGUAAUCUCACUUCAUCAGCUUUUGUUGAUGGAGGUGGACUUGGACUCUGUUGUGUCAUUACAACUGGUCUGAAAUGUGUGAGUGCACCCUGCUGUUGCAGCGUCCUCAGUGUGAUAAGCAUCUUCACUGAAUCAAGUUCCUUUGGGACACGUGUGUAAUGUGGGCUCUGUGCUGGCAAACUGUCUUUGGACAAUCUUGACAAUUUGACCUCAGAUCGAGUGGGACUACCCGCUGAACUUAAGCAUAUCAAUAAGCGGAGGAAAAGAAACUAACAAGGAUUCCCCUAGUAACGGCGAGUGAAGAGGGAAAAGCUCAAAUUUUGAAUCUGGUGCCUUUGGCAUCCGAGUUGUAAUCUAGAGAAGUGUUUUCUGCCUUGGACCACACAUAAAUUCCCUGGAAUGGGGUGUCAUAGAGGGUGAGAAUCCCGUUUGUGGUGUGGACUACCUUGGCUCUGUGAUACACUCUCAACGAGUCGAGUUGUUUGGGAAUGCAGCUCAAAAUGGGUGGUAAAUUCCAUCUAAAGCUAAAUAUUGGCGAGAGACCGAUAGCGAACAAGUACCGUGAGGGAAAGAUGAAAAGCACUUUGGAAAGAGAGUGAAACAGUACGUGAAAUUGUUGAAAGGGAAGCGUUUGAAGUCAGUCACAUUGGUCAGAAUUCAGCCUGGCUUAUGCCUGGUGUACUUUCUGGCAAAUGGGUCAGCGUCAAUUUUGACCGAGGGAGAAAGACUUGAGGAAGGUGGCUGUCUUUGGGCAGUGUUAUAGCCUCUUGUUGUAAUGCUCGGUUGGGAUUGAGGAUCGCAGCACGCCUUAUGGCCGGGGUUCGCGCCCUCGG
rnacentral:rRNA from 1 species